GUCUCUCUUCUCUUGUUUUCUCCGGAUGAAUUCUCUCUCGAUCAGCUUCAUGCGGCGUCCACAUCAUCAAAUUGGAGAAGAUAACCGAAGAAAAUCGUCCCCCUUCCGCCGUGAUCAUCAUCUCAACCGACGGUCUCAACAUCUGUGACUUCGAACAUAAUCGGCGAUUUUGAUGAACCAAAUCGGAGAGAGAAGAUUAAUAAGAUAGUUUUGAGGAAGAAAUCACAAUUAGAGCUUAAAGCAAGAAUAAAUCACAAUCACAAGAUGGGAAUUUUUCGGACAACGUAGUGAUAAUCAGUCAAUCGGAGAAAGAAGGUGACCCGAGUGUUAUAACCAUCAAUUGUCCUGACAAAACGGGUCUAGGUUGUGAUCUUUUUCGUAUCCUCCUCUUCUUCGGCCUCAACAUUGUCUGAGGAGGUGAUUGGGAAACCAAACACGAGAUGGAAUCUGUUGAAGGUUUGUGCAAGUCUUUAAUGUGGUUGUGAGAAUGCCGUGUGGUAGGGUCAUCAUCUUAGAGGGUCUAUUGCAGGGCUUCACUCUCCUUCGCAACUAUUCCUAAUAGAUCCUUCAAAAGAGAAACCGUCAUGGAGGAUCCUGAAUGUCCCAGGGAAACCACCCAAGUUAGCUUGGGGACAUAGCACAUGCGUUGUUGGAGGAACUAGAGUAUUGGUCCUUGGUGGUCACAAUGGUGAGGAAUGGAUACUCAAUGAAUUACAUGAACUCUGCUUGGCUAGCUGGCAAGACUCGGAUCUGUAAAGACUCUUUCCUUAUUCAUUUGGUUUGUGGUUAUGUAUCUGUCACAUUCCAAACUCUUAUGACAGAAGCGUGUGUACAUAGUAAAUUAGUGAUUGUUGUACGCUUUAGAUAUUAAUGUAAUGAUGUUAAUGGGUUUGCUGUAUGAGAUCCUUCUAUAAUAUACUUACUCCUUGUUACAUGACCAUGUAGCAUUUGAUUUUGAC